rnacentral:rRNA from 1 species
CCUACGGGUGGCAGCAGUAGGGAAUCUUCGGCAAUGGGGGGAACCCUGACCGAGCAACGCCGCGUGAACGAAGAAGUUAUUCGUAAUGUAAAGUUCUUUUAACAGGGAAGAAAGAGAAAUUUGACGGUACCUGAAGAAUAAGCUCCGGCUAACUACGUGCCAGCAGCCGCGGUAAUACGUAGCGAGCGAGCGUUAUCCGGAAUUAUUGGGCGAAAAGGGUGCGUAGAUGGCAUAGUAAGUCUUUUGUAAAAAUGCUGGGCUCAACCCAGUAGGGCAAAAGAUACUGCAAAGCUAGAGAAUGACAGAGGCAAGUGGAACUACAUGUGUAGCGGUAAAAUGCGUAAAUAUAUGUAAGAACACCAGUGGCGAAGGCGGCUUGCUGGGUCGAUACUGACAUUGAGGCACGAAAGCGUGGGGAGCAAACAGGAUUAGAUACCCGUGUAGUC